GUAUUGCUGAAGAGUCCCAAGCACUAGGACAAAACAGCUGUCCAGUAC
rnacentral:hammerhead_ribozyme from 1 species